rnacentral:rRNA from 1 species
GACGAACGCUGGCGGCGUGCUUAGCACAUGCCAGUCGAACGGAAAGGCCUCUUUCGGGGGGUACUCGAGUGGCGAACGGGUGAGUAACACGUGAGUAACCUGCCCUUGACUUUGGGAUAACUUCAGGAAACUGGGGCUAAUACCGGAUAGGAGCUCCUGCUGCAUGGUGGGGGUUGGAAAGUUUCGGCGGUUGGGGAUGGACUCGCGGCUUAUCAGCUUGUUGGUGGGGUAGUGGCUUACCAAGGCUUUGACGGGUAGCCGGCCUGAGAGGGUGACCGGCCACAGUGGGACUGAGAUACGGCCCAGACUCCUACGGGAGGCAGCAGUGGGGAAUAUUGCACAAUGGGUGGAAGCCUGAUGCAGCAACGCCGUGUGCGGGAGGACGGCCUUCGGGUUGUAAACCGCUUUCGCUCAUGACGAAGCUUUGUGUGACGGUAGUGGGUAAAGAAGCACCGGCUAACUACGUG